rnacentral:rRNA from 1 species
UACGUAGGGUGCAAGCGUUAAUCGGAAUUACUGGGCGUAAAGCGUGCGCAGGCGGUUCUGUAAGACAGGGGUGAAAUCUCCGGGCUUAACCCGGAAACUGCAUUGAAUACUAUUCGGCUUGAGGUCUGGAGGGGGGACUGGAAUUCUCGGUGUAGCAGUGAAAUGCGUAGAUAUCGAGAGGAACACCAGUGGCGAAGGCGAGUCCCUGGACAGGUCCUGACGCUGAGGCACGAAAGCUAGGGGAGCAAACAGG